rnacentral:rRNA from 1 species
UACGGAGGGGACUAGCGUUGUUCGGAAUUACUGGGCGUAAAGCGCACGUAGGCGGAUUUGUAAGUCAGGGGUGAAAUCCCCGGGGCUCAACCUCGGAACUGCCUUUGAUACUGCAAAUCUCGAGUCCGGAAGAGGUGAGUGGAAUUCCUAGUGUAGAGGUGAAAUGCGCAGAUAUCAGGAGGACACCGGUGGCGAAGGCAGGUCUCUGGGCAUUAACUGACGCUGGAGGAGCGAAAGCAUGGGGGAGCGAACAGG